rnacentral:rRNA from 1 species
AGGCAAUAGAUACCCGGGUAGUCCACGCCGUAAACGAUGAGCACUAGUUAUUGGAGGUAUUGACUCCUUCAGUGACGCAGCUAACGCAUUAAGUGCUCCGCCUGGGGAGUACGGUCGCAAGACUAAAACUCAAACAAAUUGACGGGGGCCCGCACAAGCGGUGGAUUAUGUGGUUUAAUUCGAAGCAACGCGCAGAACCUUACCUAGGCUUGAACUCCUACGAACCUCUUGUAAUGGAGAGGGUGUCCGCAAGGAAAUGUAGUGAGAGGUGCUGCAUGGCUGUCGUCAGCUCGUGUUGUGAAAUGUUGGGUUAAGUCUCGCAACGAGCGCAACCCCUAUCGUCUGUUGCCAGCAUUAAGUUGGGCACUCUGACGAGACUGCCUGGGUUAACCAGGAGGAAGGUGGGGAUGACGUCAAGUCCUCAUGGCCCUUAUGUCUAGGGCUACACACGUAAUACAAUGGCGCGUACAAAGGGAAGCGAACUCGCAAGGGGGAGCAAAUCUCAAAAAGCGCGCCUCAGUUCGGAUUGAAGU